rnacentral:rRNA from 1 species
GACGAACGCUGGCGGCGUGCUUAACACAUGCAAGUCGAACGGAAAGGCCCUGCUUUUGCGGGGUGCUCGAGUGGCGAACGGGUGAGUAACACGCGAGUAACCUGCCCUUGACUUUGGGAUAACUUCAGGAAACCGGGGCUAAUACCGGAUAGGAGCUCCUGCUGCAUGGUGGGGGUUGGAAAGUUUCGGCGGUUGGGGAUGGACUCGCGGCUUAUCAGCUUGUUGGUGGGGUAGUGGCUUACCAAGGCUUUGACGGGUAGCCGGCCUGAGAGGGUGACCGGCCACAUUGGGACUGAGAUACGGCCCAGACUCCUACGGGAGGCAGCAGUGGGGAAUAUUGCACAAUGGGCGGAAGCCUGAUGCAGCAACGCCGCGUGCGGGAUGACGGCCUUCGGGUUGUAAACCGCUUUCGCCUGUGACGAAGCGUGAGUGACGGUAAUGGGUAAAGAAGCACCGGCUAACUACGUGCCAGCCGCCGCCGUAACAC